UGCUGCAUCACACGCACGCACGCACUUCCUUCCACCUCGACUUUGCAAUUCGCUCAAUUAAUCUCUCUCUACCUACAUUAGUUUUGCACCAAAAAGGAUUCGAUCGAUCCAAUCUAUCCACCCACCGUUUCCACCACCAUUCAAUUCAAUCCCAUUACCUUUUCCAAUUAAAAUUCCAUACGAGUUUCCAUUUAUGUUUUCCAAUUAAAACCUCUUUCUCUCCAACUAUGUACACCUCAGACGCCAUUUCCAGAGACUUCCUCCACUCCAAUCCCUCUCACACCACCAAUUUCAAGCAUGACGCCGAUUUCUUCACCAAUCAUGAUCAACAUCAACACCAGCAGCAGCAGAGCUCCGGAUUAGCUCGAUACCGCUCGGCGCCGAGCUCCUUCCUCGCGGCGCUUCUCGAUUCCAACGCCGAUAAUAACAGCAGCAGCGGCGAUGAAUCGGACGCUUUCUUCUCCGCGCUCAUGGAAGCGCCGCCGCGCGAUCUCAAUCCCAAGAGUAGUAUGAAGCGGGAAGAUGAGGCGGAUCCGGAGCCCCGAACCGCGCAAAACGGGUACCCGGGCGGGUAUGAUGGAUCUUACUCUGUGGGGAUGGAGCAUCAGAGGUUGAGAGAUCAAAAUGGGAAUAGGUCUAAUCUGCUCCGCCAAAGCAGCUCUCCUGCUGGAUUCUUCAAUGGUUUUGGUUUAAUGGGAGAGGCAGGAAACUACAGAGUUCACAAUCCUGCAGAAGACAGUUCAUCAGCUUGUGGUUUAAGUAGUUCCAUGAAUUUGUCAUCGGCUGCAUCUUCUAGCUCGAGAUUCAUGCCCAGCAUACCCGAAACUGGAAAUGAGAACGCAUUCAGCCCUGAAAAUGGUCGUCUGAGAAACGGGGCUGCCUUCCAUCAUGAUUCUUGGAAUGAAACAUCUUUCAACAGUUUGAAAAGAAACAGAGAUGGUGAUGCGAAGAUGUUUUCUGAUUUCAAUGGAUUGGAGAAUGAGAAUGGAGAAGCCAGGAAAAAGUCCUCUGGUUUAGUAUCGCAUUUUAGCUUGCCAAAGACUUCCACGGAGAUGGCUGCAGUUGAGAACUUCCUGCAGUUCCAACAAGAGACGACCACUCCUUGUCAAGUUCGAGCAAAAAGGGGUUUCGCCACUCAUCCUAGAAGCAUUGCUGAAAGGAAUAGACGAACACGGAUUAGUAAGAACAUGAAGAAGUUGCAAGAUCUUUUCCCUAAUAUGGAUAAGCAAACGAACACGGCUGAUAUGUUGGACUUGGCAGUUGAUUACAUCAAAGAGCUGCAGAAAGAAAUGAAGGUGCUCAACGAUGUGAGAGCAAGAUGCGUUUGUUUAGGUAAACCUCACCAAACAAGUCCUUCCAAGUAGAUGCUUCUGGCAAGACGAAAACCAAGUGCAGUAGAUGAGUAUAUCCUUCAGUCUUGAUUCACCUGCGACCUCACCACCCACGAGUCAAAGCCCGUGGCCUUUUCCCUAUUGUUCUAUGUAUGCGUGUUGCAAGUUCCCACCCUCCAGGAAGAGGAGGGGGGAGAAAAAGGAGGACAGACUAAACUCCAUGUUGUAGUAUUAUUAUUUAAACUGGAAAUAAUGGAUCUGCUAACGUGAGCUCAAUCAACAAUAUAGAGAAACUAUUUGUGCAGCAAGAUUAACAAGAAGAAGACAACAGUUACUAGAAAAUUCAAAACAAGACAGAAAAUGCAGAGUGGUCGAUCGAUGGCAGCACAUAUAUACAUGGCUCAAAGUUGGCAGUGCACUUCUCCGGGAGCUGAGUAGCCAUGGUGCGAUCAACCCCAGAAAUGGGAGGCCCGUUAACGAGCACGCAGAGACAAGGUUGGCCUAGCGCUUUGAUGGAAGCACAGCAGGCCUCGGUUGGGGGGAUGGGGCUGAAGGGAGCAACUGCUGACCUGCACGGGAUGAGCUGAACGAGAGCCGAGAAGAAAGUGCUACCACAGGGAUGGGCUGUGCUUUCCUGUGCCAUCACCACCACCACCAACAUCAAGCAAGCUAGCUUCAUAUUCAUGUUCAUUUUGGCUGCCUUUGUCUUUGGGAUCAUCACUCUUGGCAUAUAUAUAGUGCAGCCUUCAGGGGAGGGAUGAUGCCUUUUGGUGCUUCUCUCCUAACUCCA